GUAGGGAAUAUUGCACAAUGGAGGAAACUCUGAUGCAGCGACGCCGCGUGAGUGAUGAAGGCCUUCGGGUCGUAAAACUCUGUGAUAAGGGAAGAUGAUGACGGUACCUUAUCAGAAAAGACCGGCUAACUUCGUGCCAGCAGCCGCGGUAAUACGAGGGGUCUAAGCGUUGUUCGGAAUCACUGGGCGUAAAGCGGGUGUAGGUGGCUAUGCAAGUUGGAUGUGAAAGCCCCGGGCUCAACCCGGGAAGUGCAUCCAAAACUACGUAGCUUGAGUGCGGGAGAGAAAGGCAGAAUUCCUGGUGUAGUGGUGAAAUACGUAGAUAUCAGGAGGAACUCCGGUGGCGAAGGCGGCCUUUUGGCCCAGCACUGACACUCAGACCCGAAAGUGUGGGUAGCAAACAGGAUUAGAUACCCUGGUAGUCC
rnacentral:rRNA from 1 species